rnacentral:rRNA from 1 species
UACGGAGGGUGCAAGCGUUAAUCGGAAUUACUGGGCGUAAAGCGCACGCAGGCGGUUUGUUAAGUCAGAUGUGAAAUCCCCGGGCUCAACCUGGGAACUGCAUCUGAUACUGGCAAGCUUGAGUCUCGUAGAGGGGGGUAGAAUUCCAGGUGUAGCGGUGAAAUGCGUAGAGAUCUGGAGGAAUACCGGUGGCGAAGGCGGCCCCCUGGACGAAGACUGACGCUCAGGUGCGAAAGCGUGGGGAGCAAACAGGAUUAGAUACCCUGGUAGUCCACGCCGUAAACGAUGUCGACUUGGAGGUUGUGCCCUUGGGAGGCGUGGCUUCCGGAGCUAACGCGUUAAGUCGACCGCCUGGGGAGUACGGCCGCAAGGUUAAAACUC